GGGAGCUGCUACAAUCUGAUGGUUCAGCGGCACAGGAUUUUACCCAUGAUCCUCCGGAAAGAGAGGGAGAAAUAAAUGCUUAUUUCUACUUUGUUGCAGAAAGAAGCUGCGAUUUGUUGAAGAAUUUUGGUGAACAAGACUUCAGACUGAGCUCCUGUACAUAAACAGUGGGAAUGGAGACCAGCAGUAGUACAAGUAGCAGCAAUAGUAAUAGCAAUGGCGUGAUAGUUAAUACAGAAGAAAGGAGAAUCAGAAUAGAAAAUCCCUUUACUUUGAAGGUUGGUCAAGUAUUUACUGGCUUUGGCAUUGGCUGUGGGAUUGGAAUCGGUGUUGGCCGCCCUUUAAAUCUAGGUGCAAUACCAAUGCUCAAUCAAGUUAUGACUGCCACUAGAGGCGCAACGGAUGCGUUUUCUGGAGUUGGAAGACAUGUUAAUAAUUCUUUGAAAAAGGUGGGGGCAAAAGGCAUUGAAGCCGGCGUCGGAUGUGGAGUAGGUUUUGGACAUGGUUUUGGAGUUGGUCUUGCUGUGAAGCGCGGAGUGGUGGAGCGGAUGCAGUCGUAUUUAAUUCAAGCCACGACAAAAUUAUUGAUGAAGUCUGGAAUGUCUCCCGGCUUAUCUAUUGGUCAAGGCAUCCUUC
rnacentral:misc_RNA from 1 species